UACGGAGGGGGCUAGCGUUGUUCGGAAUUACUGGGCGUAAAGCGCACGUAGGCGGCUUUGUAAGUUAGAGGUGAAAGCCCGAGGCUCAACCUCGGAACUGCGUCUGAAACUACUCGACUAGAGUACUGGAGAGGGUAACGGAAUUCACGGUGUAGCAGUGAAAUGCGUAGAUAUCGUGAGGAACACCAGAGGCGAAGGCGGUUACCUGGACAGUUACUGACGCUCAGGCACGAAAGCAUGGGGAGCAAAAGGG
rnacentral:rRNA from 1 species